rnacentral:tRNA from 1 species
GUCAGCAUGGUUUAGUGGUUUGAGUGUUGGACUAUGACUCUGGAUAUCAGGGUUCGAAUCUCAGCUUGGCCA